CAAAUAUUUUUUGAAAUCUGGCUAAAUAGUUCGCUGCAAAAUAUUCAGGGAAGAAUACACGGAGCGAAUUUCUUAUUGAUGAGAGACCAGCCACAUUUCCGUGUAUAUAGAGGCUUGUUUUUUCACGUAUUGCGUAGAAAGCGAGAAGGAGAAAAAAGGUGUGGUGGGAGUCUAGAAACGAACUAUAGGCAGCAGGUGUCCUAUCAUUUGUUGAGAGAAUCGGCCUCGCGGUUCCGCGGCGAAUAGUGAAAAACUACGUCGUGAAAUCGCUGAAUAACUUGGAUUCUACGGGCGGAAUUUCAUACGGCUGUUUACCCAGGAAAUUGAGCGCGACGUGAAACGCUGUGCUGGUGCAAGCAGCACUUUGUUCGGAGUUGGUUCGAGCAGCGAUUGCGGAUCAAUGUACUGUGCGAGUACCGCGAGGCGUAGAAUUGGAGCGUCGGCUAGCAAGCUGGAAACAGUUGGGAACAAGAUUGCUCAUCGCGCCUGGAAUGUGUCCACGGAGUUGGAGGAUUUGGAAGCCCAACCGCUGGCUGGAGAUCCGCCGAGGCUCCGACGAAACUCCGCUACCUGGAACCGAAGACGGGAGACUUGGUUUCCGACCGGAACUCGUCUCUCGGCCUCUUCAUCUGUCCGCUGGUAGCGCGAGGCAAAAAGUUUCUCUUGUGCGGCGCGCGCGCGCGCGAGAGUGCGUCCACUCCGGUUCCUUUGUUCAAUUUAUUCGCCGCCUCAUUCGAGGAUGACUCGACCCACACGCGACCCUAAAACAAUGUCCAUUACUACCAAUUUUCGAUGGGCUCUGUCAUCAACCACCCACGGAACUUGGGGAGCGAUGGACGCGGGGCAGAGGACGAAGACAGCGAGUUAUGAAGAAACGACAAAGGCGGUUACCGAUAGAGAACCGGCCGAGAGCAAGAUAGUCCACUCGUGUGUAUGGAUGUAGUAGUAAUGAUGAGCUGUAUUAGUCCGAGCCGCAGUAUCUUCAGUGCCGUCACGCGGGCUCGUACGGACUAUCAUUUGUGUGGUCCCGAAUGAAAGACCACCUUGGUGGAACCCACUUUGCCGCCCCCUCGCGAUGAGGAUCCUCGAAAUGCCGCUUACAGACUCGUCGAAUAUUCCCACAGUUUCGUUCAUCCUCACAACUACAUGGAUCACGCUCUCCAGCGAUGUAGGAGUCUCCAUCAUCAACAAAACGCUAUGGAAACAAGAGGGAACAUCAUCUCGGCCCACCAGGUGGUUAAGGCGAUUUCGUUAAAGCGUAUAACAGGGACGCGAGCGCGAGUUAAGAAUUCGGAUGGAAGCACAUCCCUCGUACGAAAGUGUGCGACGAGUAGUUUUUUUGCUCGAACGUAAACGGGCCUAUCAACCCCGAGUAUAGACCCAAAGUUCGAGGCUUCCGGUGACUUUCUUCGUGUUGCGUGGACGAAGACCUCUCUCGGGUACUGCCGAUGUACAUUGUCAUUGUGCACCGGAUGAUCGAGCGUUAACGAAACUCUCAAAUGGAGAGAGACGGCAAUGUCUUUCAAUCUCGCAAGGUUACCGCGCCUAAUUGGAUCGAGUGACUUGACAAAAAGUCACCGAGUCCUCGACGGUGUUGUUGUUGUUGUUGAUGUUUUUUAAGUAAUCGUCGAGGCUUCUCACGGGAGAUCGGCGAGUCUCGUUUAGGGGAAAAUAUACGAAGAGAGGAUCCGGCUCGUGGAGCUUUUGAAUGAGUCACGCAAAGCGAUGAGAAAGAGAGGAAAAGAAGCGCGGCGGUUUGUUGGCAAUGCGCGCCAUGCAGUCUGCCCGAUUCCAACUUCCCACUUGGUAAUUCAACAUUUGCGCCAUUUCCGCCUGGCGACUCUCAAUCGACGAAGCUCGAGAUUUCUGGGAAAAGCCCACGCCCCUUUUCGUCAAACGAGACGAGACGUACUCGGUAUUUUGUAGCUUCUCGAGUGUACGAAGCAGCGGAGAUUAUCCGAUAGAGCACGCAACAAAGAAGAAGAAGAAGAAGAAGAGAAAGAGCCGACGAGAGAAGGCUCGAGCAGCGCGAAGAGCAUUAUUGCUCACUCCGAGAGACUCCGAGGCAUCUGUCUCGAAGUAACUGAUGGAGGGAUAACUCCGUAAACCUGUGUUUUAUCUCAAUCAACACACCGGAGCUGAGAUAUACUGUGUAACGCGUUAAAUAGAUUGGGCGCAACGCCCACCCUCGAAUUAUGACCGAUUUAAGGAAAUACCAACUGUCACUUCCUUCCUCGAUAAAUAAUACGAGAUGUAACUAAAA
rnacentral:lncRNA from 1 species